UUAAUGCUCCCUCCGUUCAACAAAAAAUGUCUCAAAUUUGUUAACAUUUCGGUGUAUUUAAACAUGACUUAGUAUAUACAUGCAUUCAAAUUUAGUCAAAAUUAAGACAUCUUUUGUUGGACGGAGGAAAUAACAG
rfam:Brachypodium distachyon strain Bd21 chromosome 4, whole genome shotgun sequence.